AUUCAUUUAGUAUAAAAGUAUAUUUGACUUCCAAUCAAAAGGUCUAAAAGUAAGAAUGAAUA
rnacentral:tRNA from 1 species